GCCUUUUCAAAGCAAAGGCACAAUGAGAAUCUAUCACAAACACAUCACCCUGCUCAUUAAAUAUGAUUAAUAACGCAGCAGCGAUGUAAGGUUUGAAGAAACGAGAUCACUGCGACUUGAGACAGUAGCCAAAUGACAAUUGUGAACACAGUCUGGGUCUUUUGUUAUGAAUGUAACGCAAGUAUUUGGAAGGAUGUGGGCGUGAACACUGCCAACACCGUCAUCAAUCAUUGAGCUUACGACUCCACCACUUUAUACAGUAAAAGUAAAGGAAAAAAUCAGAAAGUGUAAUACAGGUCUUGUGACCACUCCAAGGGCACAAGCAGACUGAGGUUCAGUACAUCACACACAUUGGCAAGUAGCCAGCCCUAUGAAGAACUUGUGGCAUCACAGGAAGUGGAUCUGGAGCUAAAGAAAUUAUUGAUGGGCCACACAACAGAGAUGCAGUUACAGCAAAUAUCAAUGCCAGGAAGAAGAGUUAUCUUAUGGUGCAUUAUGUCACGGCAGAAGCCCCACCAUACAUUACACAAUAAUUACCCCAAACGCAGCAUCUGACAGCAUUCUUGGCCUUGCUCACCCAGGGGCAAAUGCCACAAUUAAGUUACUGAUAGCACAUUUUGUGUGGCCAUCAAUUAAAAAGGAUGCCAGGGGACUGACUCAUGCAUGCCUACAAUGUUAAAACUACAAAGUACGACAACAUGUCCAUGUAGAAUCACAAGCAAGAUUUAGCAUUGUGCAACUGGUCUUAGUGCAAUGCUUCCCAAUCUGGGGGUAAUUACCCCGAGCAGUAAAAUGUUAUUUUCUGUGGGGUAAAAACUAAACGAUUUGAUUCUCUUUCAGUCGCGGAAAUAAAUUAUUUUCAAAAUAUCACUACUAUUAUCACAAUGUUGUAAGACUCUAAUAUUGAUUAUAUAAGUUAUCAAUAAUUACUGUUUCUCAAUUAGCAGCAUUAAUGGUGUUGAGGUUACAGGUUCCUCACACAAUCCACCCACUAUAGAUACAUGCUGUGUUUUGUCCUGUACAGUGCUGAUAAUAAAAGUAAGACAUAUACAUAACAAAUGCUCAAUAUCUCAACAAAAUGUCUUCGCCAAGAUGUAGAUAGUAUCUGCAGUAGUCCAGAAAUUGCUUCAUUACUUGCUUUGAAAGAGAUAAAUGAAUUAAUUGACAGCACGGUACAGCAGUAACUACAUAAG